rnacentral:rRNA from 1 species
UACGGGGGGAGCAAGCGUUGUUCGGAUUUACUGGGCGUAAAGGGCGCGUAGGCGGUCGUGACAAGUCACUUGUGAAAUCUCCGGGCUUAACUCGGAACGGUCAAGUGAUACUGUCGGACUAGAGUACAGAAGGGGCAACUGGAAUUCUCGGUGUAGCGGUGAAAUGCGUAGAUAUCGAGAGGAACACCUGCGGCGAAGGCGGGUCUCUGGGCAACAACUGACGCUGAGGAGCGAAAGCGUGGGGAGCGAACAGG